ensembl:lncRNA
CACACACACACACACACACACACACACACACACACAGCUGAUUCAAGGUAGUAUUUAUUCAGGGCCAUUACCUGGAAACUAGUUAAACCGAUCAGUUCAUGUAGUAACCAAUCAGAAAACGUAGAAACUAAUCACAACAUGCAGUAACCAAUCAGAUCAUGUGGUAACCAAUCCGAACAUGUAGUAACCAAUCAGAACAUGUAGUAACCAAUCAGAAGAUGCAGUAACCAAUCAGAAGAUACAGUAACCAAUCAGAAGAUGCAGUAACCAAUCAGAAGAUGCAGUAACCAAUCAGAAGAUGCAGUAACCAAUCAGAAGAUGCAGUAACCAAUCAGAAGAUGCAGUAACCAAUCAGAAGAUGCAGUAACCAAUCAGAGCAGGUAGUAACCAAUCAGAAGAUGCCGUAACCAAUCAGAAGAUGCAGUAACCAAUCAGAAGAUGUAGUAACCAAUCAGAAGAUGCAGUAACCAAUCAGAGCAGGUAGUAACCAAUCAGAAGAUGCAGUAACCAAUCAGAAGAUGCAGUAACCAAUCAGAGCAGGUAGUAACCAAUCAGAAGAUGUAUAAACCAAUCAGAAGAUGCAGUAACCAAUCAGAAGAU